rnacentral:piRNA from 1 species
AGCAUGUCUAAAAAAGAACGCAAAGGU